rnacentral:rRNA from 1 species
UACGUAGGGUGCGAGCGUUGUCCGGAAUUAUUGGGCGUAAAGAGCUUGUAGGCGGUUUGUCGCGUCUGCUGUGAAAAUCCGGGGCUCAACCCCGGACUUGCAGUGGGUACGGGCAGACUAGAGUGUGGUAGGGGAGACUGGAAUUCCUGGUGUAGCGGUGAAAUGCGCAGAUAUCAGGAGGAACACCAAUGGCGAAGGCAGGUCUCUGGGCCGUAACUGACGCUGAGGAGCGAAAGCAUGGGGAGCGAACAGGAUUAGAUACCCCGGUA